GUGUUGAAAAGCGCACUUGUUAACAUCAUUCGGUUACGUUAACAGCUGUUACUCAAAUCUGUUAUUAUAUAUCUUGCUGUUGACGCGUGUGGUCGGGUCUUUCGGCGGUUAAUGCGGGUAUUUUAAAUCUAAGCAACAAAUCUGAAGUGCAAAAAUCGGAAAAAAUUCAUGCAAAAAUUGCAAAAAUUUCCAGAUGUGUUUACAAUUACUAGAAACAUAAAAUUAUUUGCAAAAAAGCAAAAAUAUAUAAAAAAAUAAAAAAAAUACAAAUUUUAAUAAAAAGCGGAAAAAAUAUAAAUAUUUCAAGUGUUUAACCAAAUGUUAGUAUAAGCUUAAAGUUUAAAACUAGUUGAAAACUAGCCGCAGUGUU